GAAAUAGUCAUGGAACAACUACAAAGCACACAAAACUCCAAUUCCGCUGUUUCGAGUCUCGACUGGAGCGCUUCUGGGGUUUUACUGGCUGCUGCGUUCUGUCAGGCUUGCCACGAAGGCUUUUGUUCCCACGAAAGUCAAGUCAAAAUAUGGAACAUUUCGAGAAAUGGAUUGGCCGAGAGUGAAGCAUAUAAUCGUGUCAAAUUAUACUCAUGUGCAACCUCCCUGGCAUUCCAUCCAUUGGAAGUGUCGAUUUUAGCAGUUGGCUGUUAUUCGGGGGAAGUCGUCGUUUAUUCAUUGAUGGACAAGAUUCCGGAGAUCGUCGCGAGUUCAGUUACGAGUGACAGUCGAGGCCACGUCAGACAUAUUGUCCAAAUGUUAUGGCAGUGUGACGAUGAACAAAAUAAACUU